rnacentral:lncRNA from 1 species
AUUCAACAAAAAGGUAGCAAAUAAGGCAUAUUUAAGGCAUAGUAGCUUUCCAACGUUUGUUUUAUGUUUUAGAUUUCAAACGAAAUGCUCAUUGGAAGUAGUAAAAUUGGUACCGUUAUAUGUUAUUGGAAUAUUUGACUUAGAAUUGUCAUUUUACACAAAUAUGUUGGCAAAGUAAGGUGUAGGCAAAUUUUACACUCACAAAUACAUUAACCAAAUUUAAAUAUUUGUAUUAAUAGCUAGUAUUCAAAGGUACCA